AGGAGCCCAGUGCGGGAAAUCCGCACGCUGGGAUCUGUGCGAGGGGCGUCGGGUAACCGAUGGCUCUAUCGUGAC
rnacentral:autocatalytically_spliced_intron from 1 species